rnacentral:ncRNA from 2 species
AACGCACCUUGCGCUCCUUGGUAUUCCGAGGAGCAUGCCCGUUUGAGUGUCUUGAUAUCAUCAAACGCCCCUGCCUUUUCUGGUGGGUCGGCGAUUUGGACUUGGACGUGCUGCCGGGCGCCCUGCGCUCGGCUCGUCUUGAAUGCAUUAGCUGGAAUUCCCCUCGGACCUUAUGGCGUGAUAAGAUCACCCGUCGAGCAGUCCCCGUGGGUUCCGCUUCCAAUCGUCCCCCUGCGGACAACACCGAAACCUGGUUUUCGACAUCUGACCUCAAAUCGGGUAGGACUACCCGCUGAACUUAA